ensembl:snRNA U6 U6 spliceosomal RNA
GUGCUCGCUUCGGAAGCACAUAUACUAAAAUUGGAACGAUACAGAGAUUAUCAUGGCCCAUGUGCGAGGGUGACGCGCAAAUUCGUGAAGCAUUCAGUAUUUUU